rnacentral:rRNA from 1 species
GACGAACGCUGGCGGCGUGCUUAACACAUGCAAGUCGAACGGAAAGGCCCUGCUUUUGUGGGGUGCUCGAGUGGCGAACGGGUGAGUAACACGUGAGUAACCUGCCCUUGACUUUGGGAUAACUUCAGGAAACUGGGGCUAAUACCGGAUAGGAGCUCCUGCUGCAUGGUGGGGGUUGGAAAGUUUCGGCGGGUGGGGAUGGACUCGCGGCUUAUCAGCUUGUUGGUGGGGUAGUGGCUUACCAAGGCUUUGACGGGUAGCCGGCCUGGGAGGGUGACCGGCGACAUUGGGACUGAGAUACGGCCCAGACUCCUACGGGAGGCAGCAGUGGGGAAUAUUGCACAAUGGGCGGAAGCCUGAUGCAGCAACGCCGCGUGCGGGAUGACGGCCUUCGGGUUGUAAACCGCUUUCGCCUGUGACGAAGCGUGAGUGACGGUAAUGGGUAAAGAAGCACCGGCUAACUACGUG